rnacentral:misc_RNA from 1 species
CGAAUCUUAUUUACUGCUGUACAUGUUGCUAUAGUAACAGCGUCCUUAUGAUAAACGAGACUAUAAGCUCAAAACAGUUUCGCUAAAUGAUAACUUUACACGUGGCAUAACUACAACUGUAAUAGUAAGGUCAAAUAAAAAAUAAGUUGCUGCUGGUGAACUAGCAUAACAACUUGGAUCCCAGUAUGGUAAAUAAAUAGAACAGAAUAGCUGAAUUGUUUUACCAGUUCAUUGCCACUGUUAUCUAAUGAUUCCUCUUGGUCGUGAAGGAGAUACAUCUGAGAGAAAGUCGGUGGAAAUAGUUCAGAAGCCAACAACAAUCUGAUGAAUAAAAUACUCUCCGUUAUGUCUGACAUACGGCAAAGGUCCAGCGGAUCAUACGAUAACUUUUCGACAUUUGGAAAGCAAACUCAAGGUAACCAUAGCAACGGAUCCAAAUCGAUCUUCAAGCGGAUUGUGAAAGUUGGCGUCAUUGGUUUAAUACUUGUUGCUAUAUCGUGGUAUUCGAUCAGUUGGAUUAAGUUUAGUUCUAGAUCUGAGGAGACGCUAGAUACAGGUAGAGAACUCCUGCAGACACAGAGAAGCAUUUACUUCACGGAUGCAGCCCUUGAAAAGGAUGUAUUCUUUUACUUACGAGAACCCGAUAAUUGGCGGAGCAUGAUGGAACAUUGUGUUAACGUUGAACAGACGUCAUAUCAUCAGGGUGGCGGUAGGCCGGGGGACGAGAGGUCUACGUGGGACGUCACCUUUAACUAUAAGGAUCUCUACGAGGAGUUCGUCAUGUCGUUAGCUGUAAUAGUCAGUCCGGAGAACAGGGUCAUUGUCUAUGUGUACGACUGGGAAGUGGAGGGUAAAAAAUAUUUGAAAGGUGUCACCACCUAUCAAUUCAUAUCAGGAAUAAAAGACUCCAGUGAUGGUUGGACACUAAGACAACAUACAAACCUUCAAGUUGAUACAGUUAACUUCCUACCAGUUGCUGCGUUAGACACAGAAAAUGUCAAAGCAAUGGAGCACAUCAAAACAAACUUUAAUAAGAAAUGAUAGGAUUAUUUUCCAAAUAGCCUUUGAACAAAUUCCACGUAAAUUCCGAAGAACCUAUCGAGGGUGUAAGAUAAAAUGAAUGUGGUAUUGCUUUACUUUUAAUGGAAUAGUUGCAUGGGGUCUAGUGGAAGUAUCCCCAAACUUUCCAAAUGUAGACUAUUUACCAUUUGAUUCUAACUAAUUUGAAUGGACCAACUGGUGCUGUUGUCAACGUCAUAAACAUAACUAUUCUUAUUAGAAAUCCACUGAUAACAUGGGCUAUUUUUCGAUUUAUUUUACUUAGAAUGGACAUACUCAUGCAUUGUAUUGUAUAUAUUUUGCAAAAGCAAUAUAGGCUAUUUAGUAAGGAUGUCAAUGUGUAGAAUUGUAAAGAAAUAUUCUUCAAAUUGUACAUUUUUUAAUAGGUCACCUAUUCACCAGAGUUGUAAAUAAACAUAACAAACAAACUAACCAAUGUUUAUAUUUUUAAGAAGAAUUAUC